AGUGAACGCUGGCGGUAGGCCUAACACAUGCAAGUCGAACGGCAGCACAGUAAGAGCUUGCUCUUACGGGUGGCGAGUGGCGGACGGGUGAGGAAUACAUCGGAAUCUACUUUUUCGUGGGGGAUAACGUAGGGAAACUUACGCUAAUACCGCAUACGACCUACGGGUGAAAGCAGGGGAUCUUCGGACCUUGCGCGUUUGAAUGAGCCGAUGUCGGAUUAGCUAGUUGGCGGGGUAAAGGCCCACCAAGGCGACGAUCCGUAGCUGGUCUGAGAGGAUGAUCAGCCACACUGGAACUGAGACACGGUCCAGACUCCUACGGGAGGCAGCAGUGGGGAAUAUUGGACAAUGGGCGCAAGCCUGAUCCAGCCAUACCGCGUGGGUGAAGAAGGCCUUCGGGUUGUAAAGCCCUUUUGUUGGGAAAGAAAAGCAGCAGGUUAAUACCCCGCUGUUCUGGCGGUACCCAAAGAAUAAGCACCGGCUAACUUCGUG
rnacentral:rRNA from 1 species